CCUACGGGUGGCAGCAGUGGGGAAUAUUGCACAAUGGGGGAAACCCUGAUGCAGCAACGCCGCGUGAGCGAUGAAGGCCUUCGGGUCGUAAAGCUCUGUCCUAAGGGAAGAAUACUGACGGUACCUUAGGAGGAAGCCCCGGCUAACUACGUGACAGCAGCCGGGGUACUACGUAGGGGGCUAGCGUUAACCGGAAUUACUGGGCGUAAAGGGUGCGUAGGCGGCCCUUCAAGUCAGAGGUGAAAGGCUACGGCGCAACCGUAGUAAGCCUUUGAAACUGUCGGGCUUGAGUGCACGAGAGGAGAGUGGAAUUCCUGGUGUAGCGGUGGAAUGAGUAGAUAUUGGGAGGAACACCAGUUGCGAAGGCGGCUCUCUGGACUGUAACUGACGCUGAGGCACGAAAGCGUGGGGAGCGAACAGGAUUAGAUACCCUAGUAGUC
rnacentral:rRNA from 1 species